rnacentral:lncRNA from 1 species
AGCCACCAUUAUCAGACUCCCAAAGCUUCCCCCUCACAUUGGUUUCAUUUUUUCCUUUCUCGCUUUCCACCUUAAACCCGAAUAAUCCUUCCGUUCUUCAUUAACCGAAACCCACAACAGCAAAUCAAGAAAAGCCGCCUCGAACAUAAAUCUCGCGAUUGAUUACCGGAGGAGUUGCCAUUUUUGUGGAGAGCAGUGAUUGAACACCGCAAUGUAGGUUGAAGAAGAAUAGCAGGUGAGGCAAGAUUUGGGAGAGAAGAGAGAGUGUUUUUUUUUUUUACAGGAAAAAUGGUGCUUUUGGGUUUUUGUAAAUUUUUGUGUAGACUUUGUGUGGUGGGUUCUUUUAAUCUUCUUCUAUUUUAAUGGAGCUUUAUAGAUAUAUACAUAUAUAUGUAUACUG